rnacentral:misc_RNA from 1 species
GAUGAAGAACGUAGCGAAAUGCGAUACGUAAUGUGAAUUGCAGAAUUCAGUGAAUCAUCGAAUCUUUGAACGCAUAUUGCGCUCUCUGGUAUUCCGGAGAGCAUGCUUGUUUGAGUAUCAGUAAACACCUCAACUUCCAUAUCUUUUUUGAAAUGGGAGUUGGACUUGAGUGAUCCCAACGCUUUUCCUCACCGAAAAGUGGCGGGUUACUUGAAAUGCAGGUGCAGCUGGACUUUUCUCUGAGCUAUAAGCAUAUCUAUUUAGUCUGCCUAAAAAACAGAUUAUUACCUUUGCUGCAGCUAACAUAAAGGAGAUUAGUUCUUGUGCUGACUGAUGCAUGAUUCACAAAGACGGCUUCGGCCGACUUUGUAAACUCGAUCUCAAAUCAAGUAAGACUACCCGCUGAACUUAAGCAUAUCAAUAAGCGAGGA